rnacentral:rRNA from 1 species
AGUGAACGCUGGCGGUAGGCCUAACACAUGCAAGUCGAACGGCAGCACAGUAAGAGCUUGCUCUUACGGGUGGCGAGUGGCGGACGGGUGAGGAAUACAUCGGAAUCUACUUUUUCGUGGGGGAUAACGUGGGGAAACUUACGCUAAUACCGCAUACGACCUACGGGUGAAAGCAGGGGAUCUUCGGACCUUGCGCGAUUGAAUGAGCCGAUGUCGGAUUAGCUAGUUGGCGGGGUAAAGGCCCACCAAGGCGACGAUCCGUAGCUGGUCUGAGAGGAUGAUCAGCCACACUGGAACGGAGACACGGUCCAGACUCCUACGGGAGGCAGCAGUGGGGAAUAUUGGACAAUGGGCGCAAGCCUGAUCCAGCCAUACCGCGUGGGUGAAGAAGGCCUUCGGGUUGUAAAGCCCUUUUGUUGGGAAAGAAAAGCAGCAGGUUAAUACCCCGCUGUUCUGACGGUACCCAAAGAAUAAGCACCGGCUAACUUCGUG